ACCCGCUGAACUUAAGCAUAUCAAUAAGCGGAGGAAAAGAAACCAACAGGGAUUGCCCUAGUAACGGCGAGUGAAGCGGCAACAGCUCAAAUUUGAAAUCUGGCGUCUUUGGCGUCCGAGUUGUAAUUUGCAGAGGGCGCUUUGGCAUUGGCAGCGGUCCAAGUUCCUUGGAACAGGACGUCACAGAGGGUGAGAAUCCCGUACGUGGUCGCUAGCCUUUACCGUGUAAAGCCCCUUCGACGAGUCGAGUUGUUUGGGAAUGCAGCUCUAAAAGGGAGGUAAAUUUCUUCUAAAGCUAAAUACUGGCCAGAGACCGAUAGCGCACAAGUAGAGUGAUCGAAAGAUGAAAAGCACUUUGGAAAGAGAGUUAAAAAGCACGUGAAAUUGUUGAAAGGGAAGCGCUUGCAGCCAGACUUGCCUGUAGUUGCUCAUCCGGGUUUUUACCCGGUGCACUCUUCUAUAGGCAGGCCAGCAUCAGUUUGGGCGGUUGGAUAAAGGUCUCUGUCAUGUACCUCUCUUCGGGGAGAACUUAUAGGGGAGACGACAUGCAACCGGCCCGGACUGAGGUCCGCGCAUCUGCUAGGAUGCUGGCGUAAUGGCUGU
rnacentral:rRNA from 1 species